CAAAAGAAAAUUCCAUUUGUGACUUUUGUAGGAAUAUUAUUAUUUGGGCAAAAAUCACAUGCUCACACUUGGCACAAACUGAGAGAAAACAUAAAUUGAUAUUGAAAUUAAACAAAAAUAAAGCUAACCAAAUGAGAUAUAUAGCUUUGAUCUUCGAUAGGUUGCCUUCGAAGCAAACAAAUAUUUUACUAGAAAGAUGAAUAGAAGAACAGAGUAUUAAGAGCUUAAGAAGAUGGUAUGUUGCUUUAUGUAACACGAAUAUUAUCUUUUAUAAAUGAUUAGACCUCAUUUAUAUAGUAGGGGAGUUCUGCGCUUAAUACAAUUUUAAUUAUAGUAAGAAAUUCAAGUAUUAGCUGAUUAAUCGGUCUCUUCUUGAUACAUGCCGAAAUUUCCGCCGUGAUCCUCUCCCGAUCACGAAUGUUUUGGCUUCUCGUUAUUUGGCUGGCGGGCUUUCCUCGCUAUUGCUCAAUCUUUAUCUCGCUUGAUCUCGAUCUCGAUCAGUUCCUGAGUCACGAGUUUGGCAAUCUAAUUUUGUGUCACAGUCCAAUAUGACAUGGAGUCAAGCUUUGGCCUGCCACACCCCUAUCUCGAUUAAUCAUACAAAUAUGACAAGCCUGAUUUUGAUCCCAUAUAUCCUGGGAAACCAAAUGCUAAUCCACUAUAACAACCAAAAACAGUUGUCCCCUAAUAUGUGGUACUACUUUGUCCGAAACAAAUACAAAAGUUGAAGCUUGUUUAAUACUAGCUAGUGGUCAUUAUGAUGAUCAAGCAGGUUUAGACGUUGUAGCUGUCUCUCGUAAUGAUCACCAAGAAGCUUAAUUUAUUACUCCCCCUUUCAUUUUCUA
rnacentral:lncRNA from 1 species